rnacentral:lncRNA from 1 species
GCCUUGACAUAUUUUUUUAGAUUUGCAUAUGUGAAGUCUUUCCAUGCUUCUUCUAACAAUCCUUUCAGCUCAUCCAUUAAUUACAUCGAUCAAAAAAGUCAUGCUCUAUUGCACACUUGGUCAUGUUGGAGAAAGUGGACUUCAAAACUUCACCCUUUGCAUAUUCUUUCAAUUUCCAUAAAUAUGCAUUGCACGAUGCUUAUACUCAACACGUGGCAGCAGAUUGCUAAUUGCUUGAAUCAAUCCUUAUGAAGAACAUGCAACAAAAGUUAAGUACAAUAAACAUGUAGUAGCUCACUUAUUUACUAAAGAAUAUGCAACAAAAGUUGAGUACCAUGAACAUAAGUAGCUCAUUUAUUUACCAAGUAAUAAAACUUAAUUUAUCAACUACCAAACACUUGAAAGAACUUACAGUGGAUCACUGAAUUUUUCUUCUAUUAGUCAUUGAUGAUAGUCCAAUUUAGUCCAUCUCCAAGUCCUAGAUCUUAUGCCAAAAGAUUAAUGAAUGAAGUCAAAAAAUCCUUGCAUUCGACCUCAAUCACAGCUAUGCCAUUGCGAACAUAUGAUUAUUUACAUCUUUACCAAUUGCAACUAAGAAAUCACCCUUACAAACCCAUUUGAAACAAUAUCUAUCAAGCCCAAAUAUGGGUCUACAAGCUACCAAAACGUCUCUUCUAAGAGCUUCAAAAUCCAUAUACCACCUCUAAAACUGCACUCCAUCAACAGACUUCUCAACCUUCAAGAUUAUUGUUGUACCCUUAUUGCACCUUUUGAUCUCUUGAUAAUAAUCAGGUAGCCUAGCAUAAUGCUUAUGAUUACAUUAUCUAAUAGUCUUCAAAACUUUUUGCCUUGCCCUUCAAUAUUCAGACACACUCACAUCCUCUUUAUAUUUUAUCUAAUAUCAUGCUUCAUCUCUCUAGUCUUGUAAGUAGGACAAACCCCAAGUUUCUCUAAAAACUCCCACACAAUCC